rnacentral:lncRNA from 1 species
AUCCUCUCUGAUCCUGUAGAAGUUAAGUUCUACCAGAUAACUUGCUGCUUCAACAAAAAGAUUUACCUUUUUAAAUAAAUGUUGUAGAAUACUUAAAAAAAACAAACUAGAAUUUGCCUGUGUGCAGCCAGUAACAUGUCUAUUUAACCUGGACACCUUUUGAGGAAUAUUCUCAGAUUGCCCCCAUGCUGUUUAUAAGACAUUGUUCCUUAUACACCUGUUUAUGAAUGAAAAGAAACAUAAGGAGUGGGUACAAAGACUUCUAUCUAUGAAUGAUUAAAAAGGCUAGAGUACGAAUACUUCUUGAACCUUUGGUACUAAAUGCUUUUCAUGUUCUAUAUAAAUGUAGAAAACAUUUUACAAAUCCUGUAAAUAAACUGUUUAUUUUUUAUAGAAAGCCACAACAGAAAAUGAUUAGUAUAUAAC